AUCAUUCAUCAGCUAGACUGGAUAAAGACUGGAUAAUGGCUGAACAACACCAUCGUCCCUGGUAGGUACCAGACAGAAAGUCAGCCCAGGGGAUUUUAAUAAAUCCUAACAUAUCGCAGAGAUGGCAACACACUAAUGAACAGGUAAUUAUGUAACUCCCUAGUUUAUUAAAACCAGAUUGCAAGUCUAUUACCACUGAUUACAUUUGCCAAUUUCAGCUAUAUACAUUUACAUUUGUGCACAGGACUUUGGGUAGCAGGAACUCAAUAAAAAAUUGUGAAACAAUUGAAUGGGACUCUGGGGAAAUUCUGUGCUAUGGUUUCAGUGAACUCAUGAAGUUCAAAGAGAAAGCAUGACAGGUCACAGAGUGCCCUAAGUAUUGGUCUGGCUCUCAUGUUCCAGUUGCUGAUCUACCUGCUGUGCAUUACUGCACCUUGUACUCCUGUUUGAAACUUACCACUUACUCUUUCUCAUCAACCCCACACCCUGAGCCUGCAUAUGACAAAAACUGUGGAGUUUCUGCAUCUAAUUUAUUAUCGAUACUAUGACAAGGCUUCAACUGAAUUCACCAUGUCAGCAUCACUCUGUCAGAGUUAUUCCGAGUAACACUGACUGGACUUGGAUUUAUUGCAGAACAACACUAUAGCUGAACUCAGAUUAAUAAAGUGAGAAAUUAAUGUUUGACAGAUUUUGUGCAGUGAUGCUUUGCUUUGAUUCGGAUAUAGUACAGAGGGAGUGACGUCGUGGUUUAACUCAGAAUUAUUAGUUUAACACCGCAGCUUAACUAUGACUUAUUACAGAAUAAUGGUGAGGAUGAACUUAAAUCUAUUGUAGUGGGACCCCGUGACUAUAAAGAGAUUUAUGAGAUAGUGAUACUGUGGGACAAUUCAAUUAAUUACUAGUGACCAUUGGGACUAAGAGUUAAUGCCUGAAUUUUGCAGAUAAAUGUUAGGAUUUCUGUAGAAAACCAUGAAUUUCCAUAUUUGUGUGGAAGUACACACAGUGGUCAACGAUCCAUUGCUGUUUUCCCAAAUACACUCCAAUGCUGUACACCUCCUGGUGCCCAGUGAAAUAGCAGGAAUUACACAGAUUCAUUGUCCCUUGCACUGGGAUAGAGUAUAACUGUAAGUCCAUUAACUUCAUCCAUAAUUGUUUGAGCAUUUUGAAAUAUUUAUAAGUGUUUUAAAAUAUUUAGGAAUUUUGUUUCUUUAAAAUUUUACCAUUUUUAAUUAUUUAAAAGAGAGUUUAUUGGAGUUUGAAUGCCCUAUAAUAGUUUUUGAAUGCUUCUGAAUGUACUUACAUGGAAUAAACUUUCAAAAAUAUUAUCAAACAUUUUGCAGAAGUAUUUUGGACUAUUUGAUGGUAUGGCUUGAUAUCUCACUCUGUGUCAACAAACCAAAGAUUUGAUCAUUGACGACAGGGGGAAGAAGCUGGAGGUCCAUGAGCCAGUCUUCAUGAGGGGAUCUGAGGUGGAGGGGCCAGUAACUUUAAAUUCCUUGGUGUUAUCAUAAUAGGGGAUCUGUCCUGCGGCCAGCACUUAAGUGCCAUCAUAAAGAAGUGACAACACCACCUCUACUUUCUUAGAAGUUUACAUAGAAUCAUCAUGUCACCUAAAGCUUCGACAAACCUCGACUGAUGCACAGUGGAAAGUAUUCUAAAAACUGGUUGUGUCACAGUCUGCUAUGAAACAUGACUGCACAGGAAUGGAAAAAUCUGCAGAAAGUGGUGGAUACAGCUCAGGCAAUCACAGGCAAACCCUUACCCACCAAUAAGCAGGUUUACAUGGAGCACUGCAACAAGAAAGCAGCACCCUCCAUUAAGGACCCCCACCAUCCAGGACAUGCUCCCUUUUCACUAUUACCAUCAGGCAGGAGGUACGAGAGAUAGAUCCCACAGGAACAAUUCAGGAAAAGUUAUUACCUUACAAUCAUUAAGCUCCUGAACCAGCAUGGGAACUUCACUUAACUCAACUCUGAACAAGUUCCACAACCUAUAGACUCACUUCCAAGAAUUUUAGUACUCCGCUUUUCAGUAUUAUUUUUUAGUUAUUUGCACAAUUUAUCUUCUUUUAUUAUUGUCAGCAUUGAUUAUUUGUCAUCUUUAUUUAGGUGUAGUUUUUCAUAAACAUUAUUGUAUUUCUUUAUUUUCCUGUAAAUGCCCGCAAGAAAAGGGUUGUACAUAGUGACCUAUAUGUGCUUUGAUAAUAAGUUUGUCUUUGAUUUUGCUGGAGUUUAUGUUGCAGGAAGCCAAGUCGUUGACAAAGGGCAGGGAGCUGCUUCCCAACCACGUGAUCCUGUUGAAGAACUGAGAUGGAUAAUUUUGUACAUCAUUGAUCAGUAGUGAUCAAUUACAGAUUAACGUUGGUGAACAGUGAAGUAAAACAGUGAUAAUGUUGGAAAUAAUCUCCAGAGCAGCAGAGGCUGAAGGGAGACCUGGGAGAAGUUUACAUAAGUAUGAGAGGCAUUGACAGACAGCCGGUAUCUUUUUCCCAGAAAGGAAGUGUUUAUGACAACAGGACAUGCAUUUAAGGUGGUGGGGGAGGGGGGAUUCAAAGGACAAGUAUUUUAUACAGGGAGUGGUGGAUGCUUGGAAGUGGCAACAGGAUAGAAGCAUUAAAGAAGCUCCCAGAUAGACACAUGAAUGUGUAGAUAAUAGAGGGAUAUAGACCAUGUACUGGCAGAUGUAAUUAGGUGUAUUCAGUUAAAUUAGUUCAGCACAACAUUAUGACCUGAAGGGCUUAUUCCUGUGCUGUGUAGUUCUGUGUUCUAUGUUUUAUAAUAAGCAGUUUAGUCACUUGAUGAGAAUGAGCCAAGUAAAGAUUUCAGAAGCCAGAAACGUUAAACACCUUUUAGGAUGUGCAAGCGCUGGAGGUGAAACGAGACGGAUGGGAAGUUCGAUGACAAGGUGACAAGGUGACAAGUCUAAGCUGCUUCUGUGUUUUCACGAAUGCUUCUGACAAGAUUGACAUGAAUCAACCACCAGCUUGGUCCCUUCACAUCACCUUACUGUCGUGGUUUCCAACGACUGGGCUGCGGAUCAAUACCGGACCGCAAAGCAUGUGUUACCGGGCUGCGAGGAAACGAUAGAGUCAGCUGCACCUUUCCUCAUUCCCUGUCACACCCACUGUUGAACUUGAACACACGUGAGUUCAUUACACACGCAAAGUCAUUACCCAUGCGAGGUCAUCAGUUGCCUAAACGCAGUGAUACCCUAGCGCCAGGGAUCACUGGUUGGUCUCGGGUAACCAGCUGCCUCACGCGGCCGGCAAGAAGUGCCGUUGCUACUGGCUUGGAGCGCGGACAGAUGGGUGCCGCCUCAUUAGCACACCGAAUGUUCAUGGGGAACCCGGUGCUAAAGUAUUCACAGACAAUCUAAUUUGGGCUCAGGGUUUCGCAAAUAGCAGAGCAGCUACCUCGCUGCGAUCUACUGAAAGUCAUCCCUCAAGCCAAACUUCUGUCAGCCGAUAGGUUCUAACUACCUACAAGGAGGGCGGGCACGCGCCCUGUCGCACUCCUAGCUCGGUCGGUCGCUCUCUCCGGACUACGACUACUGUGGCUCCAGUACGGGGACCUCCGGCCCUUACCUUGCCCUCUCACUGGUGUGUUGCAAUGGUUUUGUAUGUUCAUAUGAGGAAAAUAUGCGCUGUGUGUUUAAUAUUCAAAUGUUACUUAAAAUGUUAUGAUGCUAUUAACUUAUAAGUGAGUUAUAAUUGAUUUAUAACUAUAUUCAUGUGAGGAAAAUAUGCACUGUGUGUUUAAUAUUAAAUUCAUUAGAUAAACCCUUUUAGAAACGAAAUUGAGUGUAUUAGCCACUUAUAAGUGACUUAUAGUUGACUUAGCACCUAUAUUCCGGUUGUGAUAAACACUCCCACCGUACCCCCCGUUGGCUGGUCCACAACAAUAUUGUCAAUACUAAACGGUCUACGGUACUAAAAAAGGUUGGUGACCCCUGCCUUACUGAAUUUCCAUGGCAAUGUGACAUUAUGUAUUCCUCCUACCUUCUUUGGCUCUUUCCCUUGCUGUAUUCCCUUCCCACACCCUGCCGGUUCUGCAGGGUGGAACCUUCACUCUUUCCAGUUUACCCAAUAAAAACUACUUUCCCUCCAUGAAUCAUUUCACUGAUUCAUUCAGUCACCUGUUGCUAGUCUGAACCUGCAACACUCAUUUAAUUUGCUUAAUAGGCUUCUUCCACCCUGUCUUCACCUUUCAGACAAUUGCUCAAACCACUGGUCUCUCUUUGCAAAAUUAUAACGUUUCCAAGCUUGAAAAUGCUCAACAGAUGAACACUUACAGAUAUUAGGUUUGAAAAUUCCAACCCUUUGACUAAAACAAUUUCUCAAUCACUCCAAACCAGUUGAUGUCUUAUUCUAUGACUAAAUCCAUUGGUUUUAAACAGGAAAUGACCUCAUAACACCUCUUGUUGAUCCUCCUUCAUGUGUAUUCAAUGUGUUCUUCAUUGACUUGUGUAAUUAUUGAUUGAGUAUUAUCCUAUCUUACUCAUUCUGUCUGCAUAUGAUGAUCAUUAUUUGGAAUCAAACUAACAAACAUUCACAGAAGCAGAUAAGUCUUACCUGCAGUACAGAGACUAAUGAUGCAGCAAGUUCUCCAGAUGUGUCCUCACUGAAGCCUUAUACAAAUGAAGCAAGAAUUCCUAGCUCUUGUACUUAAAUCCCCUUGUGAUAUAAGGCAAACACACCAAAUACCUUCUAAUUGCAUCCUAUAUUUCAUUACUUCCUGCACUUUGUUUACCAGCACACCUGAUCCCCAUGAAUCCCAGCAGUUAAUGGUUUCUGCUUUGCCAGUCAUCCAACUAGAUAGUCCAGGACUGACUUUAUCUCUUUCUCUCUCAGUGAGUGGGGGGGGGGGGUGGUGGUGAAUGAAAGGAGAUGACAGCAGAGAAGAGGGAGUGGGGUAAAGGACCACAACAUUUCUUGCUUAAUGUACAUUUACAGAAUCUAUUAGUGUUGUUGAAAAAAAACAUCCUGAAACAGUACCCCAAGUAUCCCAGGUAAUAAAGAAAAGUUUAUUCUUUAUUACCUUUAUUUCAUUGACUUGAAACGUUUCUGUAUUGUUAAUAUAAUACAUGUACACUUUCUUCUGGAGAUGCUGGUGAAUACUCAAGGCUAUAAUAAAAUAUGAAC